ACGAACGCUGGCGGCGUGCUUAACACAUGCAAGUCGAACGGAAAGGCCCUGCUUUUGUGGGGUGCUCGAGUGGCGAACGGGUGAGUAACACGUGAGUAACCUGCCCUUGACUUUGGGAUAACUUCAGGAAACUGGGGCUAAUACCGGAUAGGAGCUCCUGCUGCAUGGUGGGGGUUGGAAAGUUUCGGCGGUUGGGGAUGGACUCGCGGCUUAUCAGCUUGUUGGUGGGGUAGUGGCUUACCAAGGC
rnacentral:rRNA from 1 species